rnacentral:rRNA from 1 species
GACGAACGCUGGCGGCGUGCUUAACACAUGCAAGUCGAACGGAAGGGCCCUGCUUUCGUGGGGUGCUAGAGGGGCGAACGGGUGAGUAACCCGGGAGUAACCUGGCCUUGACGUGGGGAUGACUUGAGGCAAGUGGGGCUAAUACCGGCGAGGAGCUGCUGCUGCAUGGUGGGGGUUGGACAGUUUCGGCGGUUGGGGGUGGACGCGCGGCUUAUCAGCUUGUUGGGGGGGUAGUGGCUUACGAGGGCAUUGACGGGUAGCCGGCCAGGGAGGGUGAACGGCCACAUGGCGACUGCGGUACGGCCCAGACUCCUACGGGAGGCAGCAGUGGGGAAUAUUGCACAGCGGGCGGGAGCCUGAUGCAGCAACGCCGCGUUCGGGAAGACGGCCUUCGUGUUGUAAACCGCUUUCGGCUGUGACGUAGCGAUAGUGACGGUAAUGGGUAAAUAAGCACCGGCUAACUACGUG